rnacentral:rRNA from 1 species
AGAGUUUGAUCAUGGCUCAGAUUGAACGCUGGCGGCAGGCCUAACACAUGCAAGUCGAGCGGUAACAGGGGGUGCUUGCACCCCGCUGACGAGCGGCGGACGGGUGAGUAAUGCAUAGGAAUCUGCCCGAUAGUGGGGGAUAACCUGGGGAAACCCAGGCUAAUACCGCAUACGUCCUACGGGAGAAAGGGGGCUUCGGCUCCCGCUAUCGGAUGAGCCUAUGUCGGAUUAGCUGGUUGGUGAGGUAAAGGCUCACCAAGGCGACGAUCCGUAGCUGGUCUGAGAGGAUGAUCAGCCACAUCGGGACUGAGACACGGCCCGAACUCCUACGGGAGGCAGCAGUGGGGAAUAUUGGACAAUGGGGGGAACCCUGAUCCAGCCAUGCCGCGUGUGUGAAGAAGGCCCUCGGGUUGUAAAGCACUUUCAGUGAGGAAGAACGCCUGGUGGUUAAUACCCAUCAGGAAAGACAUCACUCACAGAAGAAGCACCGGCUAACUUCCGUGCCAGCAGCCGCGGUAAUACGGAGGGUGCGAGCGUUWAUCGGAAUUACUGGGCGUAAAGCGCGCGUAGGUGG